UCAAACUUGGUCAUUUAGAGGAAGUAAAAGUCGUAACAAGGUCUCCGUUGGUGAACCAGCGGAGGGAUCAUUGUAGAACGGCCGCAAGGCCAGGCCUAUCGAACCAAAAACACCGCGAACCUUACCUGUCGUUGCCUCGGCGGGCUGGGCCCCGUGCCCACCUCCGGCGCCGCCCCGCCCCCUCCCGGGCGGGGGCCGGCGGCCCGCCAAAGGCCCCUGAAAAAAAUAGCUUAUCACCCCCACGGGGGGCAGUGUCCUCUGAGAAAGCGCCGUCCCGCGAGGGACAGGCCACCUGUCAAAACUUUCAACAACGGAUCUCUUGGCUCUGGCAUCGAUGAAGAACGCAGC
rnacentral:misc_RNA from 1 species